UACGAAGGGGGCUAGCGUUGCUCGGAAUCACUGGGCGUAAAGGGUGCGUAGGCGGGUCUUUAAGUCGGGGGUGAAAUCCUGGAGCUCAACUCCAGAACUGCCUUCGAUACUGGAAAGCUCGAGUCCGGGAGAGGUGAGUGGAACUGCGAGUGUAGAGGUGAAAUUCGUAGAUAUUCGCAAGAACACCAGUGGCGAAGGCGGCUCACUGGCCCGGUACUGACGCUGAGGUGCGAAAGCGCGGGGAGCAAACAGG
rnacentral:rRNA from 1 species